GAACGCUGGCGGCGUGCCUAAUACAUGCAAGUAGAACACUGAAGAGAGGAGCUUGCUCUUCUUGGAUGAGUUGCGAACGGGUGAGUAACGCGUAGGUAACCUGCCUUGUAGCGGGGGUUAACUAUUGGAAACGAUAACUAAUACCGCAUAACAAUGGGUGACACAUGUCAUUUAUUUGAAAGGGGCAAUUGCUCCACUACAAGAUGGACCUGCGUUGUACUAGCUAGUAGGUGAGGUAACGGCUCACCUAGGCGACGAUACAUAGCCGACCUGAGAGGGUGAUCGGCCACACUGGGACUGAGACACGGCCCAGACUCCUACGGGAGGCAGCAGUAGGGAAUCUUCGGCAAUGGGGGCAACCCUGACCGAGCAACGCCGCGUGAGUGAAGAAGGUUUUCGGAUCGUAAAGCUCUGUUGUAAGUCAAGAACGAGUGUGAGAGUGGAAAGUUCACACUGUGACGGUAGCUUACCAGAAAGGGACGGCUAACUACGUGCCAGCAGCCGCGGUAAUACGUAGGUCCCGAGCGUUGUCCGGAUUUAUUGGGCGUAAAGCGAGCGCAGGCGGUUUGAUAAGUCUGAAGUUAAAGGCUGUGGCUCAACCAUAGUUCGCUUUGGAAACUGUCAAACUUGAGUGCAGAAGGGGAGAGUGGAAUUCCAUGUGUAGCGGUGAAAUGCGUAGAUAUAUGGAGGAACACCGGUGGCGAAAGCGGCUCUCUGGUCUGUAACUGACGCUGAGGCUCGAAAGCGUGGGGAGCGAACAGGAUUAGAUACCCUGGUAGUCCACGCCGUAAACGAUGAGUGCUAGGUGUUGGAUCCCUUCCGGGAUUCAGUGCCGCAGCUAACGCAUUAAGCACUCCGCCUGGGGAGUACGA
rnacentral:rRNA from 1 species